AGUUCGAUAUGGCUCAGAUUGAACGCUGGCGGGAUGCUUUACAUGCAAGUCGAACGGCAGCACGGACUUCGGUCUGGUGGCGAGUGGCAAACGGGUGAGUAAUGUAUCGGAACGUGCCUAGUAGCGGGGGAUAACUACGCGAAAGCGUAGCUAAUACUACACUUUAUACGCCCUUCGAGGAAAGCGGGGACCUUCGGGCCUCGCACUAUUAGAGCGGCCGAUAUCGGAUUAGCUAGUUGGUGGGGUAACGGCUCACCAAGGCGACGAUCCGUAGCUGGUUUGAGACGACCAGUACCUGGGACUGAAGGAGACACGGCCCAGACUCCCUACGGGAGGCAGCAGUGGAGAAUUUUGGACAAUGGGGAAAGCCCUGAUCAAUAUCCCGCGAUAACAUUGAAGGCCUUCGGGUUGUAAACACUUUUGGCGGAAAAAAACUUGGCACGGGAUAAUACCUGAUGUGCAGCUGACGGUACCUGCAGAAUAAGCACCGGCUAACUACGUGCCAGCAGCCGCGGUAAUACGUAAGUGCAAAGCGUUAAUCGGAAUUACUGGGCGUAAAGCGUGCGCAGGCGGUUCGGAAAGAAAGAUGUGAAAUCCCAGAGCAACUUUGGAACUGCAUUUUUAACUACCGAGCUAGAGUGUGUCAGAGGGAGUGGAAUUCCGCGUGUAGCAGUGAAAUGCGUAGAUAUGCGGAGGAACACCGAUGGCGAAGGCCUCCUGGGAUAACACUGACGCUCAUGCACGAAAGCGUGGGGAGCAAACAGGAUUAGAUACCCUGGUAGUCCCACGCCCUAAACGAUGUCAACUAGCUGUUGGGGCCUUCGGGCCUUGGUAGCGCAGCUAACGCGUGAAGUUGACCGCCGCAAGGGGAGUACGGUCGCAGAUUAACUCGAGGAAUUGACGGGGACCCACAAGCGGUGGAUGAUGUGGAUUAAUUCGAUGCAACGCGAAAAACCUUACCUACCCGCCGGCAUGUCUGGAAUCCCGAAGAGAUUUGGGAGUGCUCGCAAGAGAACGGAACACAGGUGCUGCAUGGCUGUCGUCAGCUCGUGUCGUGAGAUGUUGGGUUAAGUCACAACGAGCGCAACCCCGCCUGGCGUCAUUAGUUGCUACCGAAAGGGCACUCUAAUGAGACUGCCGGUGACAAACCGGAGGAAGGUGGAUGACGUCAAGUCCUCAUGUACUAUGGGUAGGGCUUCACACAUCAUACAAUGGUCGGGAUGAGAGAUUAAACCCGCGAGGAGGGAGCCAAUCCCAGAAACCCGAUCGUAGUCGGAUCGCAGUCUGCAACUCGACUGCGUGAAGUCAGAUCGCUAGUAAUCGCGGAUCAGCAUGUCGCGGUGAAUACGUUCCGGGUCUUGUACACACCGCCCGUCACACCAGCCGGUAAGGUUUUUACCAGUAGUUAGCUAACCGUAAGGAGGGCGAUUACCACGGUAGGAUUCAUGACUGGGGUGAAGUCGUAACAAGGUAGCUCUGGUAUUUGAUGCUCAG
rnacentral:rRNA from 1 species